GUGCUCACUUCAGCAGCAUAUAUACUAUAAAAUUGGAAGAUACAGAAAAGAUUAGCAUGGCCCCUGUGCAAGCAUGGCAUGCAAAUUUGUGAAGCAUUCCAUUAAAAA
ensembl:snRNA U6 U6 spliceosomal RNA